UCAAAAUCUGAAGCUAUUGAGUAUCAGGCUUCGUAUGAGAAACUUCAGGUUGUAACUGGUCGGUAGUUUAUUUAUGCCUUUUAUCUGCCAUUUUUUGCUAAGAUGUCAUUCUGAUGCUAAAAAUAAUGUUGUCAUUGGAGAUUGUAGGCUGAGAAGGAUAUUCUUGUCUUAAAGGAAAGGGAACUCAGUGUUAAAAGUGGUGUCAUUGAUUUCCUUCGAAGAUCUGCUGCAAUUGAGAUUCAUUGGUCAGGCUGCUGAGAUACAGAAAUUGCAAACCAUGGUAUAUUGAGAUGAUUUCUUUGGAGCAAUUCUUGACAACAUUUGUAGUUGAGGCCUUUAGAAUGGAAGAAUGUAUUUUACUAA